rnacentral:rRNA from 1 species
CAGUGAGGAAUAUUGGUCAAUGGCCGGAAGGCUGAACCAGCCAAGUCGCGUGAGGGAAUAAGGCCCUAUGGGUCGUAAACCUCUUUUGUCAGGGAGCAAAGGCGUCCACGUGUGGACGAGAGGAGAGUACCUGAAGAAAAAGCAUCGGCUAACUCCGUGCCAGCAGCCGCGGUAAUACGGAGGAUGCGAGCGUUAUCCGGAUUUAUUGGGUUUAAAGGGUGCGUAGGCGGAGUGUCAAGUCAGCGGUAAAAUUUCGGGGCUCAACCCCGUCGUGCCGUUGAAACUGACACCCUUGAGUGAGUGAGAAGUAAGCGGAAUGCGUGGUGUAGCGGUGAAAUGCAUAGAUAUCACGCAGAACGCCGAUUGCGAAGGCAGCUUACCGGCGCUCAACUGACGCUGAGGCACGAAAGUGCGGGUAUCGAACAGGAUUAGAUACCCUGGUAGUCCGCACAGUAAACGAUGAAUGCUAGAUGUCCGGGGCGAAUGAGCUCUGG